rnacentral:rRNA from 1 species
UGGGGAAUCUUGCACAAUGGGCGAAAGCCUGAUGCAGCGAUUCCGCGUGGAGGAUGAAGCAUUACGGUGUGUAAACUCCUUUUCUGGUGGAAGACGAAUGACGGUACACCAGGAAUAAGGGACGGCUAACUACGUGCCAGCAGCCGCGGUAAUACGUAGGUCCCAAGCGUUAUCCGGAUUUACUGGGCGUAAAGUGUCCGUAGCCCGACAAUCAAGUCUGUUUUCAAAUACCUUGGCUCAACCGAGGGAAGGGAAUAGAUACUGUUUGUCUAGAGAAUAUUGGAGGUUAGUGGAAUUUCCGGUGGAGCGGUGAAAUGCGUUGAUAUCGGAAAGAACGCCGAAAGCGAAAGCAGCUAACUAUGAUUAUUCUGACGGUGAGGGACGACAGCUUGAGUAGCAA